rnacentral:rRNA from 1 species
GAUUAACGCUGGCGGCAUGCCUAAUACAUGCAAGUCGAACGGAAGCAGCAAUGCUUUAGUGGCGAACGGGUGAGUAACACGUAGGGAACCUACCUAUACGACGAGGAUAACUACUGGAAACGGUAGCUAAAACUGGAUAGGAUCAAUUGAGGCAUCUUGAUUGAUUUAAAGAUCCUUCGGGAUUACGUAGAGAUGGCCCUGCGGCGCAUUAGCUAGUUGGUGAGGUAACGGCCACCAAGGCGACGAUGCGUAGCUGAGCUGAGAGGCUAAACAGCCACACUGGGACUGAGACACGGCCCAGACUCCUACGGGAGGCAGCAGUAGGGAAUUUUCGGCAAUGGGGGAAACCCUGACCGAGCAAUGCCGCGUGAACGAUGAAGGUCUUCGGAUUGUAAAGUUCUGUGAUUGGGGAAGAAUGGUAUUCUUAGGGAAUGAGGAGUACAUGACGGUACCCGAUUAGAAAGCCCCGGCUAACUAUGUGCCAGCAGCCGCGGUAAAUACG